rnacentral:misc_RNA from 1 species
AUUGAAGAUGGAGAACAAUUUGUAAGGGAAAGUUUUGUUCAAGGGCCCAAUAUUGUGAUUUCAGAGCUUCAACCUCAGGAUAGUUCAAAAGUCAACUUUGCCAAUCCAGGAGAUUCUUCAAUUUCUAACUCAAGUCCUAGGGGUAGCUUUCUUUUGUUUGACCUGAAUGAACCAAUACAGCUUGAUGAAACAGAGUAUCCAAAUUAUGCACUUGAGUCUGUUAACAUUCAUGAGGGAAUCAGCAACA